GCACACCUACGGGGGGCAGCAGUGGGGAAUAUUGGGCAAUGGGCGCAAGCCUGACCCAGCAACGCCGCGUGAAGGAAGAAGGCUUUCGGGUUGUAAACUUCUUUUCUCAGGGACGAAGCAAGUGACGGUACCUGAGGAAUAAGCCACGGCUAACUACGUGCCAGCAGCCGCGGUAAUACGUAGGUGGCAAGCGUUAUCCGGAUUUACUGGGUGUAAAGGGCGUGUAGGCGGGAAAGCAAGUCAGAUGUGAAAACCACGGGCUCAACCUGUGGCCUGCAUUUGAAACUGUUUUUCUUUAGUACUGG
rnacentral:rRNA from 1 species